GACGAACGCUGGCGGCGUGCUUAACACAUGCAAGUCGAACGGAAAGGCCCUGCUCUUGUGGGGUGCUCGAGUGGCGAACGGGUGAGUAACACGUGAGUAACCUGCCCUUGACUUUGGGAUAACUUCAGGAAACUGGGGCUAAUACCGGAUAGGAGCUCCUGCUGCAUGGUGGGGGUUGGAAAGUUUCGGCGGUUGGGGAUGGACUCGCGGCUUAUCAGCUUGUUGGUGGGGUAGUGGCUUACCAAGGCUUUGACGGGUAGCCGGCCUGAGAGGGUGACCGGCCACAUUGGGACUGAGAUACGGACCAGACUCCUACGGGAGGCAGCAGGGGGGAAUAUUGCACAAUGGGCGGAAGCCUGAUGCAGCAACGCCGCGUGCGGGAUGACGGCUUUCGGGUUGUAAACCGCUUUCGCCUGUGACGAAGCGUGAGUGACGGUAAUGGAUAAAGAAGCACCGGCUAACUACGUG
rnacentral:rRNA from 1 species